UGUUGUCUUUUCAGCAGCACAGGCCUGUGCUGAGACAGCUGUGGUCCAAUCACAGUGUGUCCCUGCUUUUGUCUGUCUCACUGCGAGGUACAGUGUCUGGGAGACCCCGUGGGGACUUGCCAACGCUUCAGCAAGCAGCUGGCCAUGAUGAUUUUACAAAAAAUGCCUAGCCAGGUUCAGCAGCCUCUUAGACAGUUCCAAGAUCGUCUUCCAGAUGCUCGUUGGUAAAGAAUCCGAUGGAAUAGGCCUGCCUAGGGAUUAUGCCAUAAGGUUUUGUCUGCUGUCAGGGAGGUCUUAAACAAACCACCCUCUCCCAUUGCAGCAUGUGGGCUGUUAGGCACCAUGCUGAGUAAACAUGAUAACAGGAAAACCAUUGGAGGUCCCAUCAGAACAACCCACCUCUCUACACUGAGCACCUUCGAGCCCACGUGACACGAGCCUGUUGAUGAUUAAGCCCUAGUAUGCAGCCAUGCCCGUUGGACCACUCUUAGCCUCAGAGUUUCAUUCUUUGACUUCCUCUUUGAGGAUGGAAAUGUAUUUCUGCUGAGUCACUGCAGCCUUCCUUUCCUCCUGUGGUUGUUUACACAGCCUCUGGAACUGGCUCUAUCACACACUAGCUGUGCAACCUUGGGAAAGUUACCAGAGAAUUCCUGACGCCUUCCGUUCCUGAUAUGUGGCACCAUGAUAAUUAUAACAGCUACCUCAGAAAGUUACUGUCCGGUUUUGGCCCCGGGGAGAGCUGUGAACACUGUGUGGGAGGAAGUCACAGCAUCUACUUCUGAAUCUGUGCUUGCCUUGAGGAACAACGGCAUGACACAGGAAUGUGGACGCUUUCAACCAGAGGAUUCUGUAGGACAGUGUCGGCACACAAGGAGUGUUCCACUGACUGACCUCUUUUUGUUUUCAAAUGAAGAGGAGCCAAGAAUAGGACAGCUUGGGAAGGUGACAGGUUGCCAAGCUGCCAAGAACUCCUGCCUCUGCUCAUACUGCUCUGCUGAAGUACAUUUGAGACAUCAACCAUCAAAUUACAUAUAAAUAUGUAAUCAACUAAAGUUAUUUAUAGCUAGCUCAGUGGGUUUACGUUGACGGAAUGGGCUGAGGCUGCCGGUUUGAUCCUUUGCCACUUAUUUGACACAUGAAGAAAAUUCAUCACCUAGUAGUCUGUCCCUACACUCGACCAGGUCACAAACCUGUGAUCUUCCAGAGACCUGGUUCUACUGUGUAGGUGGACAGUCAUAUCAUUUCAGGUACAACCUCAUAUGGCAAUGUAAGUACUAACCUUCAAAACAAUAAGCAGCCUUGGAAUCUUCCAUCUCAAAACCUCAAUUAGCCAUUCACAAAGGAGAAGAUGCCUUAGUCAUAUGUUUAGAACCAUUUUCAAUAUAUUUAUAAGCACAGGUUGGAUCACAGUGUUCUCAAAUGUAAAACACUUCUUUAAAAAACAUCAAAAGAGCUUCCCCCUCCCCCCCCCCGCCCUGCCCCAUAAUGUACUAGAAACCUAGAGGGCGGGUCCUGGUUCUGCUCACUGCCUGGGACCUGAUGACAAUCCCUGCUGAGUUUGUGCCCUGAGAUUUGCCUGCAAGCAGGUCACUGUUGCUGGAGGAUACUACACGGCUCUCAGAGCACAGAAGGCUAUAGAUUCACAACCCAACUUCUGGGGGUAAGAAGAAGAUGGAGAAGGAGAAGAAGGAGGAAGAGGAGGAAGAUGGGAAAGGAGGAGGAGGAGGAGGAAGAUAAUGAAAAGGAGAAGGACGGGGAGGAAGAGGAGGGGAAGAGGAAGAGAGGGAGAAGGAAGAGGAGGAGAAGGGGGAGGAGGAGGAGGAGGAGAAGGGGGAGGAGGAGGAGGAGGAGGAGGAGGAGGAGGAGGAGGAGAAGAAGAAGAAGAAGAAGAAGAAGAAGAAGAAGAAGAAGAAGAAGAAGAAGAAGAAGAAGAAGAAGCCCUAUCUCCCUCUGUUUGAGGCUCUGCUACCCCUCCAACCCCAAACCAUCAUGUAUGUCCCUGGCCUCCUAGAUCUGGCUUGCAGGGCUCCUUUGAGGUCUACUCCCCACUGCUUCUCUCUCCCAGUCGAGCCUUGUUCGCCCUGUUCCUCUGAGUCAGCCCAUGAGUCAUCUCACUCAUUAGCCGAACGAAUGCCUCUCUAGCCCCUGAAUCUCUUUUGUUUCCUUGCAUCUAACUGGUUUUCUGGCAGCCCCCAAAUCCAGAAACAACCUUGAAGCUGGAGGGUGGCUUGCUACCAAGAUGGUCUGCUCAGUGGAGAGGCUGGCAGAGGGCAAGUUGAAUUAAGAUGGAGGUGCUGGUGUGUACACUGUGGCCUCGGGGUGGGGGUGGGGGGAACGUCAGUGCCCAGAAUCCAUGCCUCUGUCCAUUCAUAGGACGGCACAAGAUUACUAGAUCUUGGUGUCCCCCACCCCUGCUCCCCACUUCUUUCUUUUUUAGACAGACUCUCAUUAUGCAGCCCUGGCUUGUCCAGGAGUUGCUGUGUAGAUCAGGCUGGCCUCAAACUCACAAAGAUUUGCCUGCCUCUGUCUCCCAAGUACUGGUUUGAAGGGAGAGCAAACCACACCCAGCUACCCUUUUCCUUCUCUUUCUUGUCUUUUUGUCCUCUCCUCCCAACCCUCACCCCUCUCUCACACACACACACCUUUGGAUGAUACCAGGAGAAAGCUUAUGGACUGUUCUAGUGAUAGACAGGCAAAGAGCAGUAAGUAUUCUUAGACCACAUGUUGUUUUUUUCUCCAGUUCCUGCAGGCGUAUCUUUCCAUCACAGUUCUCUUGAUGUUACAUCCCACGACGCUUCCCCUCCUGAAGAGGUGGAUGGGAAAGGGUGUGUGAGAGAUGGGGGUCAUCCCAGUUGAGGCCUCCUGGGUCUGUCCAGAUGCCCAGUGAAAGGAUGCUAAUAAGAACUCUAAAUUCACUUGUUGGAGCAGCAGCACCAUGGCACCUUUAUUAAUUCAUUAAUCUUAAAGCCCUUUGUAAAGUGGAGAACAUUCGACUUGGCUGAGUGUGACACUUUUCAUUAAAUCCAGCAAUUUAGUUUCGAAGGGCUCCUUGGAGACCACCUGCGCAUUCCAUCCCGGCGGCAAUGGCAGAGCACCUGUGUAGAGUGAGCCUGGCAGAGGCUGCCCUAGGACUGCACUGUAAGGCCUGUGCGUGCAAUCACUGUAAGAUCUGUGCAUGCAGUCACCUGGGGAGCUAGCUGAGAUGCCGGCUCCAGUUCAAGAGGCCAGAUGGAAGGCAGUCUAAUGCUCAUCUGUAAGUUCCCUGGAGGUCCCGCUACCCCAGGGGCCACACAUGGAAUAUACCAAGACUCCAGCGGCUCUGCAGAAAGCAGAGCAAAGCUUGCUCGUUCCUUGAGAAACAACCUGCAGGUUAGGGACACUGCCCUCCACAUUCCUCCUCCUCCUCAGAUGACGACAUUUGUCUACCAGGCCCAGACAAUGCUGGACUGUUCCUUCUGAGGCUGCCAGCUCUUUUCUGUCUCCACUCUCAGUCGGGGGUGUUAACAUUGAGAGAUUUAGGUUUGGGAUUAGUGCAGGAAAAAAAAAUGGUUCCAUAGAUUUUCAGCCUUGACUGUGAGGUCUCAUCUAGCUCACGUUACCCGGAAGCUUAGAACACAUACGUAGGCAGAACUUGAACAACAAUAAACCAUUUCUUUGAUUGUUACA
rnacentral:lncRNA from 1 species